GACGAACGCUGGCGGCGUGCCUAACACAUGCAAGUCGAACGGAGAUACUUGUAGCAAUAUGGGUAUCUUAGUGGCGGACGGGUGAGUAACGCGUGAGCAACCUGCCCUUCGGAGGGGGACAACAGCUGGAAACGGCUGCUAAUACCGCAUGAUAUAUAUUAACGGCAUCGUUGAUAUAUCAAAGAUUUAUCGCCGAAGGAUGGGGUCGCGUCUGAUUAGCUAGUUGGUGAGGGAAUGGCUCACCAAGGCUGCGAACAGUAGCCGGACUGAGAGGUUUAACGGCGACAUUGGGACUGAGAUACGGCCCAGACUCCUACGGGAGGCAGCAGUGGGGAAUAUUGGGCAAUGGGGCAACCCUGACCCAGCAACGCCGCGUGAAGGAAGAAGGCUUUCGGGUUGUAAACUUCUUUGACGAGGGACGAAACAAAUGACGGUACCUCGAAAACAAGCCACGGCUAACUACGUGCCAGCCGCCGCGGUAA
rnacentral:rRNA from 1 species